AUGGUCAGAGUAGAUCCAGGCGAAUGCGUAUUAGAACUUGAUCAAUCAAGGAAAAUACCAAUCACAGACCAAGAAUUAAAUGAUGCAUUCGGUUUGCCACAAGGAAAUAGGAUCAUUCCUCCAGUCCAUUCAGAUCUAUCUGAAGUUUGCAUAGAGUUCAGCAGAUUGGCUUCAAGCAUUAGUACAAAAGGCGUGCAUAGUUUGAAGGCAACUGAAUUUAUAUUAUCAAAGCCAAUAGAUGAGAAUUCAUGCAAAGUGGAAUGUGAAUGUUUCAAGAUAGCAUUUGUAAUUUUCUCAGUCAGGCAUGUCCUAAACCCUUGUGUCAAGCACGACUACACCAGUGUUGAUUACUGGGCAGCACUUGUCGUCCCAUCAGAGAUGAAUUCAUACAAUUGGUGUAGGUUUGUCAAAGACAGUUUGAUGAAAGGCGUCAGAAAGAUCAAGUCCGACAUCGCCAACGACAACAACACAAUUCAUAUAGUUGGAUGUCACCUUCUUCUCCAGGUUUAUUUGCUCGACAUUUCUAUACAUCAUGUGUUUUUUUAUGUUGAUCUAACAUAUAUUCCACACAUAGGUAAUUGCUUUGGACAAGAUUGA
rnacentral:rRNA from 1 species